rnacentral:rRNA from 1 species
GACGAACGCUGGCGGCGUGCUUAACACAUGCAAGUCGAACGGAAAGGCCCUGCUUUUGUGGGGUGCUCGAUUGGCGAACGGGUGAGUAACACGUGAGUAACCUGCCCUUGACUUUGGGAUAACUUCAGGAAACUGGGGCUAAUACCGGAUAGGAGCUCCUGCUGCAUGGUGGGGGUUGGAAAGUUUCGGCGGUUGGGGAUGGACUCGCGGCUUAUCAGCUUGUUGGUGGGGUAGUGGCUUACCAAGGCUUUGACGGGUAGCCGGCCUGAGAGGGUGACCGGCCACAUUGGGACUGAGAUACGGCCCAGAAUCCUACGGGAGGCAGCAGUGGGGAAUAUUGCACAAUGGGCGGAAGCCUGAUGCAGCAACGCCGCGUGCGGGAUGACGGCCUUCGGGUUGUAAACCGCUUUCGCCUGUGACGAAGCGUGAGUGACGGUAAUGGGUAAAGAAGCACCGGCUAACUACGUG